GAACUCACUGCGCACGCGCCGGUCGGCUGGCCGCACCCACGCGGCGCAGCUCCCAAAGUUGCAGACAGCCCGGCGAACCGCGCAAUGCGCUUCUUCUGCCUGCAGCAGAGAAAAGGAAAGAAAACUCCGCAGGGGCUCCGUUGGCUUCUCCACGAGUGACAACCAUGUUUUCCCAGAUAGAAGACCGGAGCCCUGCUCCUUUGCGAUCCGCCGAGGGCUGCAGAGAGCAUCCUCAUCCAUUUGGGCACCCCUGCCCAGGAAGAGCCCGGCCAUCCCUUUCCGGACUGGAUCCUUAAGAGGUGAAUUUUCUUCCGUGGAUUCCGAUUUGCUCCGUCUGACCAGCCUAGGCAAUCCAGCAUCGCGUGGUACCAGUGCCGCUGGGCACACUGGCUUCACGCCGGCUCCGCCUCACCAGCAAGCGCAUUCCCAGGUGGUCAGGCUCAGGAUGGACCAUGAGCUUUCAAAAAGGAAAAAGGUGGAAAUCCUCAACUAUGCUGCCAUCUGAAUAAGUGUUUCUUUGUAGAUGCACAGAGUCAAGGAAAAUUACAUCCCUGCAUUAUGUAAUGUACCAACAACGCACUUACCCACUGUUUUAAUCUAGGUUAUUCUUGAAAGCAGAGCCUGAGACAAAGGUAGACACAUUCUAUUUAUGAGUCUAACACCCAGGAGCAGGAAUGAGAGAUAGGGGAGUGAACUGGGGAAAAGGGAAACUAAGUCCGAGCAAAACCAGAUACUGCUCUUAUCAAGUGGUCCACCCCUAUUAAUGGCUACAUAAUGCAGAACUUUCUCAGGAUUCUUCUUAAACUUUAUCUCAGAACUGUCUGCCUCAGGGAGAAAGGAGAAGUAUUUCUCCAUCAGCAGCCACCUCCUGUGUGUUGAGGGCUGCUCCUUUGGGGCAUUAACCCACUGCCUCCACCACCCCAACCCUCUGGGCUGCAAAGAGCUAGCUGACAGUCCAGCUGGUACCUUAGCAUCACACAUUGCUGCAUCAGAGAGGUCUUAAGACAGGAAGCUAGAGUCUUGGUGCAUGCUCGAAGUGAGACGGUGUCAGCACAGAGCAGGGUAAAAUCUUCCCGUUAACUCUUCACCAGAGCUAUGACUGGAAUCAGAGGUUGAAAAGAUGUGAGACUGUACCCAAGAAGCAUCUUAUAAGCCUACGUAAUAUACUGUUAGACUCAUCGAAAUCUAUUUCCUCCCUUCUUUAUAAUCAAAACUUCAGUGUCCAGAAUAAAGUUGGCAGAAGGGUUAAAUUGGAAAGUUAAAUGUACUAGAAGGUGUACAUUUAUAAGUUUUGACCUUGAGUCGUGUUCAAGGAGAAAGUGACAUUGGAACUUGGAAAAUUUAAAAAUGAUUCUACUUGAAAAAUUUGACCAUUGCAUAGAAAUAUUAGCUAUCGUCUAAUCUUUUGUAAUCUUAGAAACAAUCGUGAAUUGUUUGGUGAAAAAUGAAAAAAUAACCAUUUCUUAUGUCUCCGUGACCUUUAUAGACCAAUGUCACCAACUUUUCCUAAGGUAAUUGUUUCCUACUGUCAAAUAGCUCUAGUGAUAUAAAUCUUAACAAUCAAUGAAGGGAAAACUGGUGGAAACAUAGGAGGAAAAAUACUGGGAUAAUUUUCAUCACAAAGUAUUGGCAUUAACAUUGGUUAGAAUAGGGGAGAAACUGCAUGACUUGACAACUGGACAUUCCUGUAUGUUGUAUGAGGCCCUGUCUUAACAGAAAUAGUGAUGUCAUCAUCAUCCUCUCUUAUUUGGUCUUGAAUUGCCACCAAUCGGAUAAAACCUUUGAAUUAUUUAACUCAAUAUAUGUUAAGUUUCUACUAUGUGCUGUGUAUUGGUACUAUAAAUAUGAAUAAGACAUAAGAUAUUACAUUCAAAAACAUCAGAAUACAUGUUCUUUUAAAGUAUACCCCAAAACAUUUACCAUGUGUUCUGGGGCGCAUGUUAGGCUGGAUCACAAAUCAAGUCUCAAGAAUUUCAAAAGAUUGAAAUCAUAUAGAGUAUGAAUUAAACCAGAAAUCAAGUACAUAAAGGUAACAAAAAAUUUCCAAAAUGCAUUAAUUUAAGGAACAUACACCUCAUGACCCAUGAGCCAAAAAAUAAAUCACGGCAAAAUUGCAAAAAUAUUUUGAAAUGAAUUUUAAAGAAAAUACUUAGCAUAUUAAAUACUUAGCAUAUUAAAGCUCUAAGUACAUAUGUUAGAAAUUUUACCGAAAGGUUGGCUAUCAGUGUUUCCAGAAGCCAGGGAAAAAGUUUAUACAAUUUGAUCGCUGAGGCAGGGAAACAAAGUGAGACCUCCGAUCGCCCUGCCUUUCUGAGGUGAGCACUCUGGAUCCCAUCGCAGGAGAUCAGAGUCUUGCUGAGUUGAGGAGAGGAAGAUUGGAGUUGAUACUGAGAUAGCUUGAAUUUUCAGGACAAAGUAUCAACAAGGAGGAAGGUAGACAAAAAAAUCCAGAAAUCUAUGUAGAGACCCCAUUGUGUACAUUGCGGAACACUAAGCCUAACAAUUCUCAAAAUUAGCGUGAGAUUGGGAAAUAUCUAAUUUCCAUCCAGCCACAGUGGAGAGUCCUGACUGAAAACCAGGCAUUCGCUAAAGAUCCCAGAAAGGUUGUGUGUUACAUACGUAGGGCUAAACUAUCCUGACUAAAAACUACACUACACUUGCUCCUCACCCCCACAAAAAGCUUAAAAACAAGCCUCAAUAGUAUAAAGCUGAUCUGUAAGUAACUAAACUACCUGCAGAACAAAGUCCAAAUUUAUUAGUUCCAGUACUCCAAAAAAAACACAUGUAAAAAAAAAAUAGAUUUACAAGACAUUUAUUUGGGGAAAAAAAGAAUGCCUGAGGGUUGAAAUGGAGAGGAAGCCAGAGAGACAGAGUCCUCAGAAUACAUAAAAUUUCUGGCCUCCAUGGAGGUGUGAUGGUUAAUUUUAUGCAUGUCAACUUCGCUGGGCCACAGGAUGCCCCAUAUAUGAUCGAACAUUAUUUCUGGUUGUGUUCAUGAAGCUUUUUCUGGAGGAAAUUCGCAUUUGAAUUGAUGGACUGAAUAAAGCAGAUUGCAGUCCCCAGUGUGGAUGGGCUUGAUCCAGUCUUCUAAGGACCCAAAUAAAAUAGGUGGAGGAAGCUUGAAUUUUCUGCCUGACUGUGGCGCUGGGACACCCAUCUUCUCCUGCCCUUGAACUGGGACUGACACCAUCAGUGCUCCUGGUUCUCAGACCUUCGGACAGCAGACUUGGGGCCUUCUCGGCCUCCAUUAUUGUCUGCUUUUAGAUAUUUAACGGGAGAGGAAAAGAGAAAAUAUGAUUAAAGCCUUUGAAAGUCCAUUUCCAAGAAAUAAAAACUGCAGUAGGAAUUCUACAAAACUGAAAAAUCUUCAGGACUGGAAGAUCUAUCCAGAAAAGCCCAGUGGAUUAUAAUAACUUAUUAAAAUAUUUGUUUGGCAAGCCACUGACUAAUACCACUUUAAGAUAUGAAUGCAUUACCAAAAAAAAUUGGAGUGAGUAGUUUUUACAAGUCUUUGAAAUAAUCAUAUUUGUAUUUUGACACUAAUUUGAAACAAGGAGCUGGCUUGAAAUAUUAAACCUAAGUGAUCAGAGACAAUGAGCUAUCAGACUGCAUGAUCAACGUAGAGCAAUCUCCACAUAAGAUGAGAUGCAUGCAGCCUCUACAAAUUUGGCUUGGGGAGGAGUUUGCUUCGCUCGCUUGAAUAAGCCACUGUCUAUGGCUCACAAGGGUCCCGUUCUUAAUGAGGUGGUGCGUAGCAGCAACACACUGUGAAUCCAAAUAGCAGAUGGCAACACUGUUGAGUAGGCUGGCAGUCUGAUGUCUAGCCACCAACUGGCAGCAAUCAUUAUUAAACUGAUUCAUGUGCCCAGGGAAAAUCUUCAUAAGAGUCUUAGCAAAUGUGAGCAGCAAGAAGCAAAUGAUCUGCUAUUCCUAUCUGCUAUGAGUACUACCUAUAUUUCUUAAAAUAUUUUUCCCCAGUGCAACCUACACAAAGAAAUGGCAUGUUAUGUGCACUGGAGGCCCUAUUCCUUUCCUAUAGAUGCAUGUAUACCUUUAAACAUGAUAGCUGUGAUUUCUCUAUUUGGUGAAUAGCUUUCCCUUGACGGAAAUAGCUUCAUAGCAUUCACCCUAUGGAUUUGUUGCACAUAUUCAAUGAUAGGCAAGCACUCAUAGAUUCUGUAAAUAAAUAACUGAACAUAUUCUAUCUCACAUAAUGAAGCAAUGGCCUACAUUGCUCAUAGUCCAUCUACAUGAGACAGGUAACUCAUCCUUGGGUGAAAAGUUUGUUACACUCACACUUGGUUAGGAAAGCAGACUAAGAAAGGCUCUAGCUUUAGAAAACUUAUGUAAGGAUCUUUCUACAAGAAAAUCUUAAAGGUAUACAUUUAAAAGUUAAGUCUUUAUGCUGGGUGCAGUAGCUCAUGCCUGCAAUCUCAGCACUUUGGGAGGCCAAGGCGGGCAGAUCACGAAGUUAGGAGCUUGAGACUAGCCCGGCCAACAUGGUGAAACCCCAUCUCUACUAAAAAUACAAAAAAUUAGCUGGGCGUGGUGGCACAUGCCUGUAAUCUCAGCUACUCAGGAGGCUGAGGCAGGAGAAUUGCUUGAACCCAGGAGGCAGAGGUUGCAGUGAGCAGAGAUCACACCAUUGCACUCCAGCCUGGGCAACAGAGCAAGACUCCGUCUCAAAAUAAAUAAAUAAAUAAAAGUUCUGUCUUUACAAACCAAAAUGCUAAACAAAUAGCAUUUUUUUCCAAAUGUUGAAAGUAUGUGUUGUUUGUAACCAAUAAAGCCAAUUUCCACAACUUUAUAUGUUAAUAAACAAGCCUUAAGGUAAGGCUUUUAUUGAAAAACAAAACCCUGCUUUAUUCACUUACAAAAUACUUACAGUUAAAUUAAAAAACAAAAAUUCUAGCCAUUCUCUAAAUCUUCAUUACAUUUUUAAAAAUUAAGAUACUAGAAUUCUUUUACAUGCUCAUAAUAACAAGGGGAAAGCUGCAGUUAAAUGUCAGAUAUUCCACAUGUUAAAAAAUAUAUUUUAUUUUAUGUUCCAUUUAUGGUAAUUUUUUAAUAGAAGCAAAAUUUAAAAUCUUUUUUAAGAAGUAAUAAAAUCACUCUGAAUGGAUUAUUUUUGGCUUUAUCAAUUUGAUAAAUCAAUCCAGGCUGAAAUAUCAUUUAUAACUUCUAGAGUGAGUGCCCCUGCUCUUGUCUCAAAUAUGAGAGUGAUUAUCAACCAAAGUUAGAUACCCCAGCCCUGGCAGUCAAACUCAAAAGCAAGCUUGCACGCCGUCUCUCAAGUCUCUCAGCAUUCUCCCCAAACAAGAAAUCAAGUGCCAGAGCUUAUACACUUAAUAUUUGAGACCAAAAAAGAAAACUCCAAACAAGAGAUUUACUCAAAUGUGCUUGUCUCCCAGUUACUUUAUAAGAAGUAAAUCCAUGUCAGAAGAAAAGAUGCCCAUGUCUUGUUCUGCAUGGGAAAUAAGUGCCAUGUACUAAAAGAAGCCUAAAAAUGGUGGCACAAGUUUCUUUAAAUGGCUAAAAUCCCUCAAAAUACUGAACAUCUCAUCAGACCAUCAAGAGUUAUGUUUUUUGUCACACAUUAUGAAAUUCUAGAUAUCCCAGCCUGGGCAAUAUGGAAAACCUCGUCUCUACAAAAAAUGAAAAACUAUCCAGGUGUGGUGCCCCAUGCCUAUAGUCCCAGCUACUUGGUAGGCUGAGGUGGGAGGAUUGUUUGAGCCUGAGAGGCAGAGGUUGCAGUAAGUCAUGAUUGUGCCACUGCACUUCAGCCUGGAUGAUAGAGCAAGACUGUGUCUCAAAAAAAAAUAAUUCUAGAUAUUUGAAAAAUAAGAUAGGGUGAUGAAUGUUUAUCACCGGAUAUUAGGGUGUACUCAAUGGUAAGUAUAAAGGGAAACCAGCAAUGGGUAGGCUAGUUCAAAAGAUGUAUUAUAUUUCCAGAUAUUCUGAUAACAGUGAUAAAGACUUGAUGGUGAAUAGGUAUGUCGAUAGCAGUACUGCAGAUGCUCAGUUUGAGUAAGUCACCCACACUACCAAAAGAUGAAUAUUCUUUUUGAGAACAGAAGAAUUCUAGUAAUCAUGAGCUAAGGAUGCUGGAAAUUCAUUCCUGAAAAUGUAUAUGUACCAAGUAGUUGUUUUCUGUUCUCCCAUUCUUCAUUAAACCUGUCCUUAUCAAGAACACCAAUGAUGUCCAUCUUGUCCAAAUCAACGUUUCAUACUCAGACUCUCACUUACUCUAAUUCUCAGAGGCAUUUAAUGCAGUUGAUCACUACCAUCAUCUGGAAACACUUCCUUGGCUUGGUUUCUAGAACAACAGUAUAUGACUAGUUUUCCUUUUUCCUUAUUGGAAGUUCAUUGUCCAUCUCCUGUUUAGCUCCUUAUCAAAAUCCUGACCUUUGACAUUUGACUGUUGUUCUUAAAUACACUGUGUAGAUUCUGAUAUCUGAAUGAACUAGACACUCUGCUAUGUACAUUCUAAUGAGGACAGGGACUAUGUGUGUCUGGUUCACUGCCAAUGUCUAAUACAUGGUGGACAUUCAAAUAUUCGUUGAAGGAAUGAACGAAUACUAGAACAACAUAUGCAGUUUGAAUAGAUGAGUGUAAGUAUAAUGAGGAUGAUCUGGAUAUUAAAUAGUUCCUAACAUUAUUUAAUUGAGGUAGGUUUUAAAUAUUAGAAUCCUCAUCUUUUUAGAGUAUGAAAUUGAUAUUUAGACAGGUCAAAUAACUUGCCCAAGAACACACAGCUACAAAGUGUCAGAGCUGAGACGUCUUCUGCUGUGCUAGUCCAAGGUCAUGCUCUUGACUCAGUGCUAUACUUAUUGAUAAAUACAACAGAAAAUGAGGAAUAGGAACCCGAGUUCAGCUUAUAUUUCUCCUGGUCCUCUGCUACAACUGCGGUUGAUGUUUCUGAUGGUAGCAGGACUACAAAUACUAGUUGUUGUUGUUGGUUUUUUUUUUUUUUACAUUCAG
rnacentral:lncRNA from 10 species